rnacentral:rRNA from 1 species
CCUACGGGAGGCAGCAGUAGGGAAUUUUGCGCAAUGGGGGAAACCCUGACGCAGCAACGCCGCGUGAUCGAUGAAGCCCUUCGGGGUGUAAAGAUCUGUCAGUGGGGACGAAACCUGACGGUACUCACAGAUGAAGUAUCGGCUAACUCUGUGCCAGCAGCCGCGGUAAUACGGGGGGUGCAAGCGUUGUCCGGAAUCAUUGGGCGUAAAGAGUACGUAGGUGGGACGUUAAGUCGGAUGUGAAAGGCGGAGGCUCAACUUCCGUAGGGCACUGGAUACUGGCGGGCUUGAGUGCGGAAGAGGUGAGGGGAAUUCCUGGUGUAGCGGUGAAAUGCGUAGAUAUCAGGAGGAACAUCGGUGGCGUAAGCGCUUUACUGGGCCGUAAUUGACACUGAGGAACGAAAGCCGGGGUAGCAAAUAGGAUUAGAUACCCGAGUAGUC